GUCGGGUUAAGUCCCAUAACGAGCGCAACCCCUAUCAUUAGUUGCCAUCAGGUCAAGCUGGGGACUCUAAUGAAACUGCCUACGCAAGUAGUGAGGAAGGUGGGGAUGACGUCAAAUCAGCACGGCCCUUACGUCCAGGGCUACACACGUGCUACAAUGGCCGGUACAAAGGGCAGCUACCUGGUGACAGGAUGCUAAUCUCAAAAGCCGGUCUCAGUUCGGAUCGGAGUCUGCAACCCGACUCCGUGAAGUUGGAUUCGCUAGUAAUCGUGAAUCAGAAUGUCACGGUGAAUACGUUCCCGGGCCUU
rnacentral:rRNA from 1 species